GACGAACGCUGGCGGCGUGCCUAAUACAUGCAAGUCGAACGAUGCUGUUUUAACUGGUGCUUGCACCGACUUAAACAACUGAGUGGCGAACGGGUGAGUAACACGUGGGUAACCUGCCCCAAAGCGGGGGCUAACAUUUGGAAACAGAUGCUAAUACCGCAUAACCACAGAAACCACAUGGUUUCUGUGUCAAAGAUGGUUUCGGCUAUCACUUUGGGAUGGACCAGCGGCGUAUUAGCUAGUUGGUAAGGUAAUGGCUUAACAAGGCAAUGAUACGUAGCCGAACUGAGAGGUUGAUCGGCCACAUUGGGACUGAGACACGGCCCAAACUCCUACGGGAGGCAGCAGUAGGGAAUCUUCCACAAUGGACGAAAGUCUGAUGGAGCAACGCCGCGUGAGUGAAGAAGGUUUUCGGAUCGUAAAACUCUGUUGUCAGAGAAGAACGUGUGCGAGAGUAACUGUUCGUGCAGUGACGGUAUCUGGCCAGAAAGCCACGGCUAACUACGUGCCAGCCGCCGCAGUAA
rnacentral:rRNA from 1 species